AUGGUGGGCUGGAACAGUGCCAUCCCCACCAGGGUAUGCGGUGCCCUUUUCAUUGGGUACUGCCUUUACUUUGAUCGCAAGAGAUGGAGUGACCUUAAUUUAAGGAACAGGCUUUGAGAACGAAGAAAGAAACAGAAGCUUGCCAAGGAGUGAGCUGGACUUUCCAAGUUACCUGACCUUAAAGAUGAUGAAGCUGUUCAGAAAUUCUUCCUUGAAGAAACACAGCUUGGUGAAGAGUUACUAGCACAAGGUGAAUAUGAGAAGGUUGUGAACCAUCUUACAAAUGCAAUUGCUGUGUGUGGACAGCCACAGCAGUUACUGCAGGUAUUGCAGCAAACUCUUCCACCACUAAUGUUCCAGAUGCUUCUGACUAAGCUCCUGACAAUUAGUCAGACAAUUGUAAGUGCUCAGAGCUUGGCUGAAGAUGACGUGGAAUGAGAAACAUUCAACAUAAUAAAAUCUCAGUUUAAA